GGUGAACGCUGGCGGCGUGCUUAACACAUGCCAGUCGAACGGAAAGGCCCAAGCUUGCUUGGGUACUCGAGUGGCGAACGGGUGAGUAACACGUGGGUGAUCUGCCCUGCACUUCGGGAUAAGCCUGGGAAACUGGGUCUAAUACCGGAUAGGACGAUGGUUUGGAUGCCAUUGUGGAAAGUUUUUUCGGUGUGGGAUGAGCUCGCGGCCUAUCAGCUUGUUGGUGGGGUAAUGGCCUACCAAGGCGUCGACGGGUAGCCGGCCUGAGAGGGUGUACGGCCACAUUGGGACUGAGAUACGGCCCAGACUCCUACGGGAGGCAGCAGUGGGGAAUAUUGCACAAUGGGCGCAAGCCUGAUGCAGCGACGCCGCGUGGGGGAUGACGGCCUUCGGGUUGUAAACUCCUUUCGCUAGGGACGAAGCGUUUUUGUGACGGUACCUGGAGAAGAAGCACCGGCUAACUACGUG
rnacentral:rRNA from 1 species